UUCCGCCCUAAUACUCCUUCUGACUCUCAAGGAAACUGAUGCGUCUUUCCGCCGUCGUCAUCAUCACUAGCCUAGUCUUAGCCUCCUCAUCCAAUUGCUUCAUUGAUCGACAUCCACCACCGUUACGCACCACUUGAACCGCCUAUAUACAUGACACAAUCAUCACCGGCUACAAAAAAUUGCAUGGUCGGUAGUGUUCUCGAACCCAACCACCGCGAACCACCCUUGCCGCAUCAAAGCGUCACUCUAAUGUGCAAAUGACGGAGAAUAGUACGGAAGAAAGUUACUGGUGGUGAAAUACGUACUCAAGGUUGGUAAAGGUAUUUGGCUACGAGUGAGGAGACGCUUAGAAUAACCACCUAGUCAAGAGACAAUUUCUAUUUCAGUCUAAGUUGGAUUUUGUUAUUUAUUUUAUGGGAUUUGGUUGUAAUAUUUAUUUAGCCACCUUUUAGACCACUUAGUUAAUUUUGACUUUAAUGAUUUUAAAUUGUUUUGUUGCUUUGUAUUUAUUUUCUAUGAAAAAGAAAUGUAGCAGUGACACUCCCAAGGUUUGGA